CCCGCCCAGUUUCCUCUUGAGUUAAUGAUUGUCGUAGAAAAGAAACGAGAUCAACUUUUGCAUCUCGCAUAUACAAAUAAAAGGUCAAAAUUUACCAAGGUGGUUACGUUUUAUUUUAAACCACGAUUAUAGGUAUAAAAGGCCGGGGCCGAGACAACGACUGCAUCAGUUGAUUUUUGUUCAAUCAAUAGCAACCAAACCAACCCUUCAAGAUGUACAAGAUUGUAGCUGUUGUAUUCGCUCUCUUCGCCAUGGCCUUCGCUGCCCCUCAACCCAAACCAGGCGCGCUCUUGGCCUCCAACUUGGCCUAUACCGCUCCCCUGGCCUACAGCGCUCCAUUGGCUUACAGCUCUUCCUACAGCUACAGCUCUCCCAGCUUAGUUUCUGGAAUCGCUGCUGCUCCUUUGGCUUACACCUCCUACAGCGCUCCUUCUCUCAUCAUCUAAGUUGAAUAUAAGGAUAGUGGAUGAACUAAUGGUGAACUGGUAAACGCAACUGGACAUCUUUACUUUUUGAAUAACGAUUUGGAUCCCUUUUUUGUGAUUUGUAGUGUAAGAAUAAAUAAAAGGUGGAAAAAUUA